UACGAAGGGGGCUAGCGUUGUUCGGAAUUACUGGGCGUAAAGCGCGCGCAGGCGGUCCUACAAGUCAGAGGUGAAAGCCCGGAGCUUAACUCCGGAAAUGCCCCUGAGACUGUUGGACUUCGAGUACGGGAGAGGUGAGUGGAAUUCCGAGUGUAGAGGUGAAAUUCGUAGAUAUUCGGAAGAACACCGGUGGCGAAGGCGGCUCACUGGCCCGUUACUGAC
rnacentral:rRNA from 1 species